GACGAACGCUUGCGGCGUGCUUAACACAUGCAAGUCGAACGGAAAGGCCCUGCUUUUGUGGGGUGCUCGAGUGGCGAACGGGUGAGUAACACGUGAGUAACCUGCCCUUGACUUUGGGAUAACUUCAGGAAACUGGGGCUAAUACCGGAUAGGAGCUCCUGCUGCAUGGUGGGGGUUGGAAAGUUUCGGCGGUUGGGGAUGGACUCGCGGCUUAUCAGCUUGUUGGUGGGGUAGUGGCUUACCAAGGCUUUGACGGGUAGCCGGCCUGAGAGGGUGACCGGCCACAUUGGGACUGAGAUACGGCCCAGACUCCUACGGGAGGCAGCAGUGGGGAAUAUUGCACAAUGGGCGGAAGCCUGAUGCAGCAACGCCGCGUGCGGGAUGACGGCCUUCGGGUUGUAAACCGCUUUCGCCUGUGACGAAGCGUGAGUGACGGUAAUGGGUAAAGAAGCACCGGCUAACUACGUGCCAGCAGCCGCGGUGAUACGUAGGGUGCGAGCGUUGUCCGGAUUUAUUGGGCGUAAAGGGCUCGUAGGUGGUUGAUCGCGUCGGAAGUGUAAUCUUGGGGCUUAACCCUGAGCGUGCUUUCGAUACGGGUUGACUUGAGGAAGGUAGGGGAGAAUGGAAUUCCUGGUGGAGCGGUGGAAUGCGCAGAUAUCAGGAGGAACACCAGUGGCGAAGGCGGUUCUCUGGGCCUUUCCUGACGCUGAGGAGCGAAGGCGUGGGGAGCGAACAGGCUUAGAUACCCUGGUAGUCCACGCUGUAAACGGUGGGUACUAGGUGUGGGGUCCAUUCCACGGGUUCCGUGCCGUAGCUAACGCUUUAAGUACCCCGCCUGGGGAGUACGGCCGCAAGGCUAAAACUCAAAGGAACUGACGGGGCCCCGCACAAGCGGCGGAGCAUGCGGAUUAAUUCGAUGCAACGCGUAGAACCUUACCUGGGUUUGACAUGGAUCGGGAGUGCUCAGAGAUGGGUGUGCCUCUUUUGGGGUCGGUUCACAGGUGGUGCAUGGCUGUCGUCAGCUCGUGUCGUGAGAUGUUGGGUUAAGUCCCGCAACGAGCGCAACCCUUGUUCACUGUUGCCAGCACGUUAUGGUGGGGACUCAGUGGAGACCGCCGGGGUCAACUCGGAGGAAGGUGGGGAUGACGUCAAGUCAUCAUGCCCCUUAUGUCCAGGGCUUCACGCAUGCUACAAUGGCUGGUACAGAGAGUGGCGAGCCUGUGAGGGUGAGCGAAUCUCGGAAAGCCGGUCUCAGUUCGGAUUGGGGUCUGCAACUCGACCUCAUGAAGUCGGAGUCGCUAGUAAUCGCAGAUCAGCAACGCUGCGGUGAAUACGUUCCCGGGGCU
rnacentral:rRNA from 1 species